AUAGGGAGUCGGACCUGCCCAGUGAAUAAUUUUUAACGGCCGCGGUACUCUGACCGUGCAAAGGUAGCAUAAUCAUUUGCCCUAUAAUUGAGGGCUAGUAUGAAUGGUUUGACAAGAAUAAAGCUGUCUCUAUAUAAUUAAAUAGAACUUUAUCUUUAGGUGAAGAAGCCUAAAUUUAAUUAAAAGACAAGAAGACCCUAUCGAGCUUUAAAAGAAUUAAUAAGUUAAUUUAUAUAAUUAUAAAAUAAUAUUUAUUAAAAAUUUUGGUUGGGGCGACUAAGGAACAAUUAAAGCUUCUUUUAAAUUUUAAAUUACAAACAAGUAUUGAUCCAAAAAGUUUGAUUAAAGAAAUUAGUUACCGUAGGGAUAACAGCAUUAUCUUUUUUAAGAGCUCAUAUCGAAAAAAAGGUUUGUGACCUCGAUGUUGGACCAGAAUAUCCUAAAGAUGCAGAAGUCUUUAAAGGUUGGUCUGUUCGACCAUUAAAAUUCUA
rnacentral:rRNA from 1 species